UACAAUCUACCUUAAACAGGGGGAUAGCCUUUACGAAAGAGAGAUUAAUACCCCGUAAUAAAUUGAACGGCAUCGUUUGAUUUUGAAAGCUCCGGCGGUUUGAGAUGGAGUAUGCGUCUGAUUAGCUAGUUGGUGAGGUAACGGCUCACCAAGGCGACGAUCAGUAGGGGAUCUGAGAGGACUAACCCCCACACUGGUACUGAGACACGGACCAGACUCCUACGGGAGGCAGCAGUAAGGAAUAUUGGUCAAUGGAGGCAACUCUGAACCAGCCAAUGCCGCGUGCAGGAUGACGGCCCUAUGGGUUGUAAACUGCUUUUAUACAAGAGAAAACCCUGGUACGUGUACCAGGUUGAUAGUAUUGUAAGAAUAAGCAUCGGCUAACUUCGUG
rnacentral:rRNA from 1 species